rnacentral:rRNA from 1 species
UACGGAGGGGGCUAGCGUUGUUCGGAAUUACUGGGCGUAAAGCGCGCGUAGGCGGCUUUUUAAGUCAGAGGUGAAAGCCCGGAGCUCAACUCCGGAAUUGCCUUUGAGACUGGGAGGCUAGAAUCCGGGAGAGGUGAGUGGAAUUCCGAGUGUAGAGGUGAAAUUCGUAGAUAUUCGGAAGAACACCAGUGGCGAAGGCGGCUCACUGGACCGGCAUUGACGCUGAGGUGCGAAAGCGUGGGGAGCAAACAGG